rnacentral:rRNA from 1 species
GGGCCCGCACAAGCGGUGGAGCAUGUGGUUUAAUUCGAUGAUACGCGAGGAACCUUACCAGGGCUUAAAUGUAAGUUGCAUAGAUCAGAGAUGGUCUUUUCUUCGGACUACUUACAAGGUGCUGCAUGGUUGUCGUCAGCUCGUGCCGUGAGGUGUCAGGUUAAGUCCUAUAACGAGCGCAACCCCUAUCGUUAGUUGCCAUCAAGUAAAGUUGGGAACUCUAGCGAAACUGCCGGUGCAAACCGAGAGGAAGGUGGGGAUGACGUCAAAUCAUCACGGCCCUUACGUUCUGGGCUACACACGUGCUACAAUGGUCGGUACAGAAAGCAGCCACUAUGCGAAUAGGAGCUAAUCCCAGAAAACGUCUCGUAGUCCGGAUUGGAGUCUGCAACUCGACUCCAUGAAGUCGGAAUCGCUAGUAAUCG